AUUGAACGCUGGCGGCAUGCCUUACACAUGCAAGUCGAACGGUAACAGGUCUCCGGAUGCUGACGAGUGGCGAACGGGUGAGUAAUACAUCGGAACGUGCCUAGUAGUGGGGGAUAACUACUCGAAAGAGUGGCUAAUACCGCAUGAGAUCUACGGAUGAAAGCAGGGGAUCGCAAGACCUUGUGCUACUAGAGCGGCCGAUGGCAGAUUAGGUAGUUGGUGGGAUAAAAGCUUACCAAGCCGACGAUCUGUAGCUGGUCUGAGAGGACGAUCAGCCACACUGUGACUGAGACACGGCCCAGACUCCUACGGGAGGCAGCAGUGGGGAAUUUUGGACAAUGGGCGAAAGCCUGAUCCAGCAAUGCCGCGUGCAGGAUGAAGGCCUUCGGGUUGUAAACUGCUUUUGUACGGAACGAAAAGCCCCGGGUUAAUACCCUGGGGUCAUGACGGUACCGUAAGAAUAAGCACCGGCUAACUACGUGCCAGCAGCCGCCGUAA
rnacentral:rRNA from 1 species